UCGUUUGGGUUGGGCGUCGGCUAAGAGUGCUCGGAGUGUGGAUUAACUCCAGUCUCCUAUCAGGUGUGUAUUUUCUCGCUACUUUAGCUGUAGGAUGGCUACUUCGGGCCACGAUGGGUUGAAAGGGGUCAUGUGGGCCUAAUGGGCCUACGGGCCCAAUUGGAUAAGUUGUUUGAUUGUGUAGUAAAUAUUGGACUAGGCUAGGUGAAUCUCAUAUUUGUGGCUAGAUUUGGGCUAAAAGGGCCACACGAGCGUGUGGAUCCAUUUGGGCCAAGAAUAGGCUUUAGGCCCAUUCGUAUUGUUAUCCCUGUUUAGAAUACUUUAGUUUACCAAAUUACUGAAAUGCCUGCGAGUUGUAGAAUUACCAUUUUACCCUCAAUUUAUAAAAUUACCAUUUUACCCUCGAUUUACAAAAUUACCAUUUUACCCUUGAUUUGUAGAAUUACCAUUUUACCCUCGAUUUACAAAAUUACCAUUUUACCCUCAGUUUACAAAAUUAUCGUUUUACCCUCGAUUGUGAAAUUACUGAAAUACCCCUGUAGGAUAGAAUUACCAAAAUACCCCUAGUUUGUAAAAUUACCAAAAUACCCCUAGUUUGUAAAAUUCCCGAAAUACCACUGGUUUGUGAAAUUACCAAAAUACCCUUAAUUUGUAAAAUUACCAAAAUACCCCUAAUUUACAAAAUUACAGAAAUACCCUUGACUUUCUAAAAAUUAUAGAAAUACUAUUGGUUUACAAAAUUACUGAAAUACCUUUAGUUUGUCGAUUUACCAAAACACCCUUGUAGGAUGAAAUGACUAAAAUACCCCGAAUAGGAAAAAAGACCGUAAAGCCCCUGUAGGGUAAAGUGACCGUAAUACCCUGGUAUGGUAAAAUGACGAAUAUGCCCUUAUGUUUCGUAUGACUGAUGUGCUUAGGAUUUACAUUUAUUGAUAUUGGAUUAGUUGAGUUUGAGUGACAGGUGGUGGUUAUCGUAGGUGAUUGAUUAUGGAAACGUUUCAACUUCAGCCCAUAACAGGUGUGUACUAACCCUCGUAGUAGCUUAGAUUAAUAUCUGCUAAGAAGCCGAAAUGCUAAAAUACCGGUAUUUUGGGAACUUGUAAUGUUGCGUGUGGGUAUAGAUGCGAUAAAUACGAUAAGAUCGGUGUUUGGAUCGAUGGAACGGGUAAGAACUCAAUUUUGUGCACGAUGGUAAGUUGGGCCUCAAUGGGCAAGAAUUGGGCUAAAUGGGCUUUUGGGCCCAUUUGGGUAAAAUUGAUAGAAAAUGGAAUUUGGAAAAGUUACAUGUUAACACGAUUAGUAUUGUUGUAAAAUUUGGGUUAAGCAGGCUCAGUGGGCUAAAUCAGUAUUUGGAGAGCCCAUUAGGGGUUUUGGGCCUAAAAGCCCGAAUUUGAUAAGUGGGUUAAAGAUCAUUGUUUAAACACUUGGAAAUAUUGACAAUUGUAAUGAACAUGGAAAACCCUGAUUUUUGGUAAAAUUACGAAAAUACCCUUAUAAUAUGAAAAAUGACUGUUUUGCCCUUGUGGGCAAGUGACUGACUUGGACUGUGUGGUUGACGGAUUUGAUUGUGGAUAUAUGUUGGUGAUAUAAAUGACUUGACUGUGAUUGUUUGAUUCAAAUAUGGGCAUGACAUUCUGCAUACAUGACAUAUUGCAUGAGAUAUGGGUUAUAUUGAUGGAGGAAGUGCUAAAAGGGCUCUACCCCAGUUUACUGAAAAGGUUGCCCCAGUUUAUCAGAAAGGUCUUUGCCCCAGUUAUUAAAAGAGGCAAGGCCUCCAGUUAUAUGAUAAAGCAACUAUGCUGCUAGUGGAGAGUUUUGUUGGGUGGGUUGAGUUAUUCCCCACAUGGAGAGCUUGGUUGGCACGGGUGGAGAGUAGCGGAUGGUGGGUCGAGUAGUCUCCCCAAAUGGGCUUGGAUACAUUCAUUGACAUUACAUGUGAUAUUGAAAUGGGCCUAAGGGCCAUACUAUUUACAGUAAAGGCUUCGGCCCAGUGAUAUGAUUUAUGAAAAGGCUUCGGCCCAGUGGUAUGAUUUAUGAAAAGGCUUCGGCCCAGUGGUAUGAUUUAUGGAAAGGAUUCGGCCCAGUAUAUGUCAAGACUAAAUAGGGCUUUGGCCCAUAUUGUACUGAUACCGUGUUAUUUACUGUUUGUUUGUUAUUGGGGUUACACACUAAGUUUUCGUAAACUCACCCUGUUUCUAACUGUACAGGUAAUCCCUAAGCUUAGAUGGUUUGGAGCUGCGUGGGACUCAGAGAUGGCCACACUACUAUUUCUGUUUCUUUUAAUUGCAAUAAGUAGCCUAUUUAUUUCUUUAUAAGUUUUGUCUUAUUAAUAUUAUUAUUUGGUUUUGGGUUGUAAUAAGGCCAUUUUAAUUAUUUUUCUGGGAUUAUUUUAUCUUAUACCCUAUAUCUUUUUAAUAACAAUAUAAGUUAGACCUAGGGCGCGUUUCCA
rnacentral:lncRNA from 1 species